GACGAACGCUGGCGGCGUGCUUAACACAUGCAAGUCGAACGGAAAGGCCCUGCUUUUGUGGGGUGCUCGAGUGGCGAACGGGUGAGUAACACGUGAGUAACCUGCCCUUGACUUUGGGAUAACUUCAGGAAACUGGGGCUAAUACCGGAUAGGAGCUCCUGCUGCAUGGUGGGGGUUGGAAAGUUUCGGCGGUUGGGGAUGGACUCGCGGCUUAUCAGCUUGUUGGUGGGGUAGUGGCUUACCAAGGCUUUGACGGGUAGCCGGCCUGAGAGGGUGACCGGCAACAUUGGGACUGAGAUACGGCCCAGACUCCUACGGGAGGCAGCAGUGGGGAAUAUUGCACAAUGGGCGGAAGCCUGAUGCAGCAACGCCGCGUGCGGGAUGACGGCCUUCGGGUUGUAAACCGCUUUCGCCUGUGACGAAGCGUGAGUGAAGGUAAUGGGUAAAGAAGCACCGGCUAACUACGUG
rnacentral:rRNA from 1 species